AUGUUGUAUGAAAGUUGAGAAGGUUAGCACUCCCCUUGAUAAGGUUGGAAGAGGUCCUUGUGAUCUAAUUACCACACUAAUGGUUAAGUAAUUGUCAUCUACUUAGUAGAAAUGGACCCUGUUGU